CUCGCUCUCUCUCUCCCUCUGUUUAAUCCAAUUGCGAGAGGCAUAUGCUUUGAUUUGGUAGAUAACAACUGUUCUCUUUAGGUUUUAGUCGAUUUAUCUCCUGUGGGCAGUAAUUACAUGUUGAAGCAUCGAAAGCCAAAUAGUUGAAUUAAUCGCUCCAGGAGUGGAUGUUAUGAAAUCAGCUGGUAUUGAGCCGAAUUGGUGUUGAAUUUUGGGGAAUAUACCUCAAAACUGCGCCUUUUUGCGCGAAUAUCGUGUUUUGCAUAAUAAAAAAUUGAUUUAGAGGGUGUAGAUUUGUUAGGACAUUGAGAAUGGGAUAGAAAGAAUUGGUUGGUUUAAUCACUGUUGCUCUAUGUCCCAUGUUUGAGAAUUGGUUGGCUUAUUUUUUUUCCCCUAUUUAGGGAUAAUCUGAAUUUGGGCCUCAUUAACUUUUCCAUAAGAAAAUGUGUCUGACACUAGCAUUGCUAGGAGAUCCGUCGAUAGUUAUCUAGUCGUCGAUUUAUCCAUGCAGGGAGGUAAUUUUACGAGGACCUUGUUUGGCACCUGAAAACAUGAAACUGAACUUGGAAAACUCUCUCGUUGCUAACUUUCAUCAUGCCAAUUAGUCCACUGAGCGGACUUCUUCUUCCUGCUUCACCAAAUGCAUAUGAUUAGUGGCCCCGUGCCAUAUGACGCCAUCUAGAACAGCUUAUACCACUAUCAUAAAACCACUACCCCUUUUACCAGAACGGCUAUUGAAUCAUGUCCGUCGAUCUCCAACACUGCAUCCACUUCCUUCGAUCCUGCAACUCCCACCAUUGGAUCUUUAGUGGACGGCAGAUCCAUCAGAUUCUCCUCAAGACUGGCCACGCCACUGGCUCCCUCUUUGUCUCCAACUGCCUCGUCCAAAUGUAUGCCCGCUGCAAUGUGCAAGAUGCCCGUGUCCUUUUUGAUGAAAUGCCCCAAAGAAAUUGUUUCUCUUACAAUUCCCUCAUUGAUGCAUACCUCAAAUCUCAAGAUACGCACAACGCACUGUGCAUCUUUAAUUCCAUGCACGAAAAGAAUACCUUUUCCUGGAAUGCCUUAAUCACUGGUCUCGUGCGUUCUGGUGAUGUUGAAAGCGCUCGGAAGCUAUUUGAUGAUAUGCCCAUUAAAGAAGCAGUCGCCUGCAAUGCUCUCAUUCAUGGAUAUUUCCGUAAAGGGCUUGUAGAUGAAGCCUUUCACUUGUUUAAGAGGAUAGGCUCGGAAUGCAUCGGUUCGUCGUCACCAUGUAAUGACAGUUUUGUUCUAGCAACAAUUCUAAGUGCUUGUGCUGACCGGCGGAUACAUAGUUUCGGGAAGCAGAUCCACUCGCGCAUUGUUGUUGGAAAAGUGAAGAUGGAUUCGGUAUUGGGUAGCACGAUGGUUGACAUGUAUGCGAAGUGCGAGGAUUUGGAUAACGCCUGUAGAGUGUUGGACCAAUUGCCUGAAGUAGAUGAGUUCUCGCUAUCGGCUAUGAUUUCUGGCUAUGCAGGGUGUGGCAGAGUAGUUGAGGCUCGAAGGGUUUUUGAUAGGAGGGAGAACCCAAGUAUUGUUUUGUGGAAUUCUCUCAUAAAUGGAUUCGUCUCUAAUUGUCAAACUGAAGAAGCAUUAGAGUUGUUUAUUAAGAUGAGUAGAGAGGGAGUAAAGCCGGACUCAUCAACUUUUGCCACUAUUCUGAGUGCCUGUGCUAGUUUUAGCAUGCUUGAAUAUAGUAAACAGAUUCAUGCUUGUGCUUUCAAGAAUGGAAAUUUAGGGGGCGUUAUUGUUGCAAGUACUCUUAUUGAUUUGUACUCAAAAUCUGGUCUUUGGGAAGAUGCUUGCAAGGUAUUCGCUGAGCUCAAAGUUUAUGACACAAUCGUGUUCAAUUCCAUGAUAAAUAUGUACUCGAACUGUGGGAGAAUUGAGGAGGCUAGAUGGGUUUUUGAUACAAUACCAUCAAAAUCAUUGAUCUCAUGGAAUUCGAUGAUUGUGGGUUAUAGUCAAAAUGGUUAUGCUAUCGAAGCAUUGAAUCUCUUUUAUGAGAUGCACGGGCUCGGUCUUCACAUUGACCAGGUUGCUUUAGCUAGUUCUAUAAGUGCUUCUGGUAGCAUCUGCUAUGUCAAAUUUGGGGAACAGCUAUUUGCCCUCUCUAUUAUUCUUGGCCUUCAGUCUGACCACAUAAUCACUUCUGCACUUGUCGAUCUCUACUGCAAAUGUGGCAAUGUUAUUUAUGGACGCAUGCUUUUCGAUGAAACGAAGAGACCUGAUGAAGUUUUAUAUAACUCAAUGUUGAUGGGUUUUGCCUCAAAUGGGUAUGGAAGUGAAGUUCUCGAACUAUUCGAAGCCAUGAGAAGUGAAGGAAUCAGACUGAAUGAAGUGACAUUUAUUGCUCUACUUUCCGGUUGCUGCCACUGUGGGCUAAUUGAGGAAGGAUUGAGAUGGUUCAAUAAGAUGAAGGAGGAUUAUGGUAUUGAACCAUUAGUCGAGCAUUAUUCAUGUAUCAUCGAUUUAUUCGUUCGUGCAGGGCGGCUUGAGGAAGCAGUUGAUUUCAUUGAGAAUAUGCCGUUUAGGGCUGAUGUUAGCAUGUGGACUUCAGUGCUGGGAGGUUGCAAAGCUCGUGGGGAUGAAGCUUUAGCGAGCAAGGUCGUGCAAAGGCUUGUUGAGAUUGAUUAUGAGAAUGCGAGCCAUUAUGUGCAGUUGGCUAGCGUAUUUGCUUCUUCUGGGGAGUGGGAGAGAUCAGCACAAGUUAGGAGAAUGAUGCAUGAUAGGAACAUUGCAAAGAAUCCUGGCCAUAGUUGGCUUGAGCAUUGAGUGUGAGAUUUGGUUGUGGGAGAGUAAAUCUCCAUGAGUAUAACUUUUGAAGUUACACGGAAGCUAGUAUAUCCUAACACAAUGGCAUUGCAGGAAAGCCUCAAUAAGUUCAAGCAACAGCAAGAGAAAUGCCAGUCAACGCUUACCAGCAUAGCAGCCCGAUCUGCGUCUUCAAAGGCACCUCAAACUCAGAGGACAGUUUCACCCAUGAACGCUCCCU